UAUGUUUGGUCAGCAUUUUUUAUUUCGAGUUUUGUGUGUCUGUUAAACAUGCUAUAAUCUACAUGCAAUAGUUGUGUUGUAGUAGAUCUGUAUGGGAGAUAAUAAAGACAGCACUAGUUUUAUUUAGAGAUCCUUUUCGAAAGGGGUGUAUAGGCAGAUUCAUCAGUUUUGGGGAAGCUGUGAUGGGCGGGUGUUUUAUCAACACAUCACCCAUAAAUCCUUGAGAAUAAAAGCCCCUGUCUGUCCGCGUCACUGAACACAGACUCUCAGUUCAACAGAAACUUCUCUAAAAGAGGACACAACAACUGUAAAAAUGAAUACAUUUUGGAUCGUGUGCCUUGGGAUGCUGUUCAUGACUUUACCAUUUUCAUCCUUAGGGAAGCAGGAUUUGCAGAGCCAGAAUUCAACCAAACCUAGCGGAACUCCUGCAGAUUCCAGCGCUGUAGGAUCGAGUCCUGUCUCGAUCCCACUGUGUCUUCUAAUACCAGCAGCCACACUCCUCAUCCUCCACGGCAAAUUUUAAACUGGAAGUGGAGAAAGUUUGCUGUUGAUCCAGAGCGAGACAGUGAUGACAAGAAGUGUUUUUUAAAAUUCAAAAAGAUAAGAUACAAUCAAAGCUCAUAUGUGUUAUGGAUCUAUUAAAUCAAAAUUGAAUUUGAAGUUUGGAUAAUUAUUUUAAAGAGGAUUAGGAAAUCUUCCAUGUGCAGAUAUUUUAGUUAGUGUAAUAACAUUGUUUGCACUGUAUAAUAUGAAUCUUGUCAGAGUCAUCUUUCGUAACCUUACAAUAUUUUAUUGUAAACAAACAUUGUUGUGAUUAAGACUGAAUCAAUACAAUUAAAGCAGAAAAUUGUAUGUGUUUGCAUAUCAUCUUUUAUUUAUCCUGCCAUUAAUAUUUGUCAUCAUAACAUACUAUAAAAAUCGUUUAACUAUGUGUUUAGGUUGUAACAUAAAGAUCAAAUUAAAGAGAAAAGACAGAGAA